GGGGUUAAAUCUAUUAUAUGCUGCUGUUCCGCACACGCACCAUAAAAACACUCAAAAAGAACAAAUGGAACUUUACCCUUGCUUGACGUAGAAACAGGUGAAUAGUUUUGGAACACUGAGCCAUUGACUACCUGCCUGCACCAGGUUGCUGUGUUAGGAGUGGGUUGGUUGCUUUUGACAGUAAGGCAAAGGACUACAGACUUAUAGGUUUGAACCUAGAGGAAGACCAAGAGACGGGAGUAGGCAAGAAGGAAUCGACCGGGAUGGGCGAGAGGAAUGUCAAGUUUGGCAAGAAAAGCAUGGUUUAUCAUCUGAUUUCUUGGAGCCUGAGCAGGAGACUCUGGGCCAAUGGGAGAUCAGGGGUGAGUCUGCUGGGCUAUGGAACUCUAGAGCAGCACAUCAAAAGACCUGCCACCCUGUUGUCAGCUAUGUGAAGGAUGCAACUAUCAAGGCUUUCAAAGGCCACAUUUUUGGGGAUGACCAAAUGCAAUAAAGUUUUGUAUAAACUCAUACAUUGUUACAUUAUAAUACAAAUACUUUUCCAUAGAAUGUUUGUCAUAGAAUGUUUGUCAUAACUUUUACUUCUUCCUGUGGUAACAAACACAACACUUGGAGCUUACGAUUCAAAAUGUCUAAAGUGAAUGCUAAAUAGAUUUGUAUUAAUGCAUAUUAUACACAACACAGGUGUUUCAACUAAAGUAGACUGUAUAUCUCAGACAAGAUUGAAGAAUGGGACAAAGUGAAAAUAAAAGUCAAUGCUUGUGUCUGUAGCUGUUGGUUACAUACAAUGGUUACAUACAAUACAUGUUGACAGAAUGGCUGUGAGACAGUGAGAGAGACUGUUGCUGUACUCCCAGGUAAGGCUUUUGGUUCCGGUACCACUGAAGGCCAAAGUUUUCAAUCAGGCAGCUUGAAGAUGUGUCCUCAUCCAGGCCCAUGUCACAGCAUGCAGUGUUCUGAUAGGUAGAUGACAAUAAAUGCAUUAUGUU